rnacentral:rRNA from 1 species
GAUGAACGCUAGCGGGAGGCCUAACACAUGCAAGCCGAGCGGUAGAGUUUCUUCGGAAACUUGAGAGCGGCGCACGGGUGCGUAACACGUGUGCAACCUACCUUUAUCUGGGGGAUAGCCCUUCGAAAGGAAGAUUAAUACCCCAUAAUAUAAUGAUUGGCAUCAAUUAUUAUUGAAAACUCCGGUGGAUAGAGAUGGGCACGCGCAAGAUUAGAUAGUUGGUGAGGUAACGGCUCACCAAGUCAAUGAUCUUUAGGGGUCCUGAGAGGGAGAUCCCCCACACUGGUACUGCGACACGGACCAGACUCCUACGGGAGGCAGCAGUGAGGAAUAUUGGACAAUGGGUGAGAGCCUGAUCCAGCCAUCCCGCGUGAAGGAUGACGGCCCUAUGGAUUGUAAACUUCUUUUGUACAGGGAUAAACCUACCCUCGUGAGGGUAGCUGAAGGUACUGUACGAAUAAGCACCGGCUAACUCCGUG